AAAAAAACCGUUUGUUAUUGUUUACCAAUUGUUUACUAAAUGAAUUCACAACACAACUCACAAGCUUUUUCUGCGAGUAAAAUAAUCACAUCAGUUAGCUAACAUAUGUAGUAGAUGUAAUAAAUUCUAAACCGCUCUAUUCAAAGUAUUCAAUUUAAUGACUCAAUUAAUACUAAUAUGGAUGCCACUUGUAGACUGUGUUUGUCCGUUAAGAAUGAAAAUACGACGAUUAUUCAUAAGAAACAUGAUGUUUUAAUGAAAAUAUCAAAAUGCUUCUCACUAAAGAUUACCUUAAACAAAUCACUUCCGAAUAGAGCCUGCUUUUCGUGCAUCAAAAAAAUAAAUGAAAUUCACAAUUUUUACACAAAAGUUAUUGAAAAUGAAAAGAAACUCCUUUACCAUAACAGUAGGGAUCAACUUAGUAAUUCAGUUCAAACAGCAAAUGAAAUGCAAGAUGUAAAUAUUGAAUACCGUAAUGAAAAUAUUUUUUGUGAAACUGAGAGCAAUGAUAAUACUGAGAUGCAGUUAAAGCAAGAAAACUUGUUAUCUACAACAAUUUAUCCAAACUCUUUUCAAAUUACAAAGAAAGAUUUCGAUUUUCAUUGUUCAUUGUGCCUUAAAAGUUUUCAAAGACCAUCUCUGUUAUUGGAACACAGGGUGCACUGUAUUGAUGAGAAAUCAAAUAUCGAAUUAGAUAUUGAUAAGUAUGACCAAUCUACAAAUAAACAACUUGUAGAUAAUAAAGCAGAGAAAGAAAAUGCCACCAAAAUUCUGAAAGAAAAAUAUGAAACUAAAAUGACAAAUUCGAAUUUAGAUAACAGUAAAUGUGAUGAAAAGUAUUCUAUAGUCAGUAGCGGAGAUCAAUUUAAGUUUAAAUGUAAUUUAUGUGAGAAAUCUUUCAAUACAAAAAAAGCAGUUGUCAGACAUAUUGUUAGUCAUACAAAUGAAAGACCGUUUGUCUGUAAUAUAUGUGGUAGAACAUAUAAAACUUCUGGGGAAAUAUUAAGACACAAACGAAUACACAAAUCUGCUGAAUUAAUUUGUUCAUAUGAAUGCGGAUAUAGAACAUCAUACAGAGGUGCACUUAAAACACACGAGAAGACUCAUCAACCCUCACAGUAUAACUAUAAAUGUGAAACCUGCGGAAAAGGUUUUCAAGUUUUAACAAUGUAUAAGCAACACCAGAACGUGCAUGAAGGGUUGAAGCCAUUCGUGUGUAGCAUGUGCGGGGUGGCUUUCCAUAUGGACAGGUAUUUAAAAGCACACCUGCAGAAUGUCCAUAACAAGUCCACAAAUGGCAAAUGUUUCAUAUGCAUACACUGCUGCUUACCACUGGACAGUCUUCUAGAACUGAAAAUGCACAAGAUUGAGAAACACGGCCUCAGAACAACCUGCCUUUGUGACGUGUGCGGGAAAGUCUUCAAGAACACAGAAAGGUUGAAGAACCAUAAAACGACCCAUUCGAAAUUGAAACCUUACACUUGUGGUGUCUGCAACAAAACGUUUGCUAAGAAGUUUCACUUGAAAGUACACGAGAACACGCACACAGGCGAACGGAAGCAUUCGUGUGGAGUUUGCGGACAGUCCUUCGUACAGAGAAGCUCUUUACUACGCCACAAUAAACGGUAAGAGAUAAUAUGGUUCUUAGUCUUUUAAUUUAUUUUGAAACAGAAAAAUGUUGUCUUCGCAGAUGGAUAAGACGCGCCGUGUAUUCUUCUCACAAUGCACUCUUAUUAGAAUACCUUAUACAAUUAAUAAUGAAAUACGUACAUAACAAUUAAUGUUCAUGAUUAACUUCCACAGUGAAGGACUAACAUCCUGUAAUAAAAAUCAAACCCGCAAAAUUUUUAUUUUGGUGGUAGGACGUCUUGUGAGUCUGCACGGGCAUGUACCACCGCCCUGCCUAUUUUUGCCGUGAAGCAGAAAUGCGUUUCGGUUUGAAGGGUGGGGCAGCCGUUGUGACUAUAUUGAAAGUUUAGAGCUCAUAUCUCAAGGUGGGUGGCGGCAUUUACGUUGUAGAUGUCUAUGGGCUUCAGUAACCAUUUAACACCAGGUGGGCUGUGAGCUCGUCCACCCAUCUAUGCAAUAUAAAAAAACAUACCAAUAGGUAUGUUUUUUUGCAAUAUGCAAUAACAAUACGCAAUAGCGUUAGUUAUAAAAUAUAUAAUAGUUGGUUGUCGUUGUAUUCCAUAUAUUGGCAUGUAUCGACACAAUUAUGACUAGACUUUGGCCGUUUUUCAAUUACAGCACAAGAGCGCAUUAUGCGGCAUAAUGCUCAACUAAGCUUCAGCAUAAUUCGGCAUUGUGCGUCACUGAGUCGCAUUAUGCUCUGUAAUUGGAAAACGGCCUUGAACUGCUGGGCACGAGUCCUUCAAAUGCUCGCCACAAUAACCGGAUUCUGGGUGGUCUGUAUCUAGCGAGUUCCUGAGACCUAUAAUAAAACAUGGUCCUGCCUUAAUGAAUUAUGUGUGUGAAACUAAUACGCCAGGCCAGUUGGAGCCGUAGCAGGCCAGCAAGAAAUUGAUGAGGAGAGCCGAAAGCCGAGCUCAAGGGCGUGAAUUGGGAGAGGCUUAUGUCCAGCUCUGGACAAUACUGUACGCUGAUGAGAAUGAGUUUUCUCACGCAGUGCCAGAAUUAAAUCUAGGUGGCAUCGUAUCUUCCCAUGAUCAAUGCGAAAGAUAAUAUGACCUAAUAUGUUGUACAUAUUUCUGACAGCAACGGUAAAUAUUGUGAAAUGUACUUAAUUGUUGUUUUACAGGCGCCACCAAGAUCUUAAGAGUGCAAAUGAAAAGUUGGAACAUAAUAUGUGAAGGAUUUUUACUUUUGCUAUUAAAUUUGUUGAAAACUA